GUGCUAGCCCCGCGGUAAUACCGGCAGCCCGAGUGAUGGCCGAUCUUAUUGGGCCUAAAGCGUCCGUAGCUGGCCGCGCAAGUCCAUCGGAAAAUCCACCCGCCCAACGGGUGGGCGUCCGGUGGAAACUGUGUGGCUUGGGACCGGAAGGCCUGAGGGGUACGAUCGGGGUAGGAGUGAAAUCCUGUAAUCCCGCACGGACCACCGAUGGCGAAAGCACUUCGAGAAAACGGAUCCGACAGUGAGGGACGAAAGCCAGGGUCUCCAACCGGAUUAGAUACCCGGGUAGUCC
rnacentral:rRNA from 1 species